GGGUCUCUCUUCUUUUCAUUUUCUUUUUGCUCUUUUUCACUGCUCUUUUCUUUUUUGAUUUGUUUGUCUUUUUCAUACCCUUGCUUCCAGAAAUUUCUUCUCUUUUUCCCAGUUUGAUAUUUUGGUUUUCUGUUUUGCGACUCGUUUCUCUCGAUUUCUUGCUUCUGUUCGCGUUGACAAGCAGAGCAAUUGAGAAAAGAUGGGAACCAGAUCAUUUUGGGUUACCAUUGAUGUUCUGUAUUGAGAGACGAUUGUUGUCAAGGAUUUUGCUUGUUGAGCUUCUCUCUCGGCGUUGAUCAAAGGAUUCUGCUUGUUGAGCUUCUUCGAGUUGAUCAAGGCCUACUAAUUGACCACAGAUAAUUUUAUCAUAUAAUUUAAGAUAUUACUUUACGAGACAAAAGCAGAACAACUCGAAGCUUUAUCCAAAAGUUUAAAUUUGGGUGAAUAUCCAGGCUCAGGCUCCGUUGUUUAAGCAUUCAAGAGCUUCCUCCACGAUAAUUCUGGCACCCCUUGUAAUAGGUAUGCAUUUCCCUACACAAUUACUACUUUAGAUAAAAACCAAAUCAAGCUCACAGCAGAUUUCGUGAAUCCAUUUUAGAGUUUUGUGAGCAAGUUUUAGGAUUUGUUGAAUUGAUUUUGGGAUUUUGUUGAAUUAAUUUUAGGGUUUUGUUAAAUUGAUUUUAAGGUUUGCUGAAUCUGUUUUAAGGUUUAUGGAAUCGGUUUUAAAGUUUUGUUAA